UGUCAAAGAACAUUCUGAGGAAGGAGAAGAUAAGAGAACAAAGCCUAGGAUGAAAAAUUAUUGGCAUAACGGAAGACAAGGAGAAAGACAUUUCUCAGAAAUGACAGUGUAAGGCACUUGGCCUUAACAAACAAGAAGACAAAAGGAGACAACCGAAUGACUUUCUUAUUGCUUAUUCUGGUCACAAAUUCCCAUCGAGGAGAAGAAAUCAGGUGUUUACUGUAUCUAUAGCAGCAAGAUUGGAACCAGCCUUGGAGAUCUUCCAUCACAUUUGCAUUAGGUUUAGUGGAUUCCCAUAGACUUCAAUUCUUCACACACUUUUCAAAGCUAGGUCUCAUGCAAAAUACUCAUAAACUGCCAGUAAGAUUUGCAAGGAUUCAUAAGUGAUUAUCUACAUGGUUGUGAAGCUGUUACUUGAAAUACUCAAACCAACAUUUCUUGCAUAUAACUAAUCCUUUCAGUUGCAGAAAGUAGUCUGAUGUAUGUGCUUCAUAUUUGGGGAAAAAACUACAUAUUAGCAAACCAAA